UACAGAGGGUGCAAGCGUUGUUCGGAAUUACUGGGCGUAAAGCGCGUGUAGGCGGCUUAGUAAGUCGGUCGUGAAAUCCCUCGGCUCAACCGAGGAACUGCGGUCGAAACUGCUAAGCUAGAGUAUCGGAGGGGAUGGCGGAAUUCCCGGUGUAGAGGUGAAAUUCGUAGAUAUCGGGAGGAACACCUGUGGCGAAGGCG
rnacentral:rRNA from 1 species